GGAGGUUUUAGUCUGGAGGGCUGUGCAGGUUUCAGUAUUCUUUUCCCGGUGUUAGAAGCAGAUUGAGUUCCACACAGGAAAGUUCAUGACAUUAUGUAGCCCUGGGAAGGUUUAAUACCCUAGGAAGGUUGCAGACCCAGGGCAGGUUAAAAUUUGGUCUAACAUACCCGUUUAAUGGCGAGUUGCAGGUGAAACGUUUGGCACAGGCAGGAAGUACUAUUAGUCCGUGAUUCCUGGCCUCAGGUCUGGGGUGGUCUUUGAGUGUGUCUACAACCGGUUCAUUUUAGGUCUUCCCACUCCAAGAGCUUUUUGUAGGACGUCCUCUCCUUACAAACCCCUGCCUGAAAGAGGAGAAAGCCUGGGGGAGCCCAGGUUAACCCUCUGCACAGUUUCCCGAAGCGUCCCUCCCUGCUUCCUCCGUUCCCCGUCGCCUGUGCUUCACAUUGAACCUGGCUUCACGAAGUGCUAAGUAAACAUUUGACUGUGUCAACCUUUUUAAAGGAAAAGGGACGAGGUGUAGUACAGCAGCCUGGCUUUGCUCAUCUUUCUGAGUGAUGGGAGGAAAACUCAAGGAACUGGAAAAGGCGGAUGCGGCAGAGGUGGCGCUUAGUUGGCCUGGUUUCCAGAAUCAGUCGCUGUGGCUGGAGACUGUCACUUCGCAGAAUUGUCCAGCUCCCAAAUCCCUUGGGCAUCAGUUUGAAGCAUGGCCCAAAGACGGUAAAAUGAAGAGAAUGGUUCCUUUUCUUUCAAAGGAGCCCCAAACAUGUCAUUGUGUCUUGAAUAGUUUCUGAGGUCCACAGCCCACAGUGCAGUGACUUCGAAGACUGUCACACGUCAGCCCCAAGAACCAACUGUUCCAUCCAUAUUAUGAGACGAGAAUCAAGAUCUGUGCAGGAAGAAGGAGCUGGUGCCAGGUGAGAACAAGCCAGUCGCUAUCGCCUCCUCUUAGUAAGUUCAGGUGCACAGUUCCGACAGACCUUUCAUGAAAUGCCCUUCGCUGGCGAUCACACAAGAGUACGCACCACAGGGUUUUGGGUGCUUGGAAAAUGAAACAGAGCAAGCUUCAAGGCCAUGUGCCGGGGGUUUACCAUUUUGUCAGAAGUUUCUUCACUUAAUUUGUUUUAAAACCUUAAGAAUGAUAGUUGUGCCCUGGCUGGUGUGGCUCUGUGGAUUGAGCGCUGGCCUGCUAACCAAGGGGUCAUUGGUUCGAUCCCCAGUCAGGGCACAUGCCUGGGUUGCAGGCCAGGUCCCCAGUAGGGGGCAUGUGAGAGGCAACCACACAUUGAUGUUUCCCUCUCUUUCUCCUUUCC